CAACAAUGGGACGCCCCCUCCUCGCUGGAAGGAAGGUGGGGAUUCUUUCAGGAGGAAUAUAACAAACGAGCAGCUGGGGUGCUUUGCUAUGAAAUUCCUCUGGACUGCAGCCCUCUCCAUCUUCAGAACAUCCAGAUCCUAUUCUCCAAAGCACCUGAAGAAGCCAGUGAUGGCAGAGAUCUCCCAGGAAGGACUUUCCAUACUUUGUAAAAAGCUCGCCAGCAAAAUGAGAAGAAGAGAAAGGAAAUCCUCAAAGUCUUGCCAUUAUAACUAGAACUGCAGAAAAAAUAACUGCUACCAACCUGCCUUCCAUUGAGGACCUGUAUACUGCACGAAUCAAGAAGAGGGCUGUGAAAAUAUUUACAGACCCCUCGCAUCCUGGACAUAAACUGUUUCAACUCCUACCCUCAAAACGACGCUAUAGAGCACUGCACACCAGAACAACUAGACACAAGAACAGUUUUUUCCCGAACGCCAUCACUCUGCUAAACAAAUAAUUCCCUCAACACUGUCCAACUAUUUACUGAAUCUGCACUACUAUUAAUCUUCUCAUAGUUUCCACCACCAAUCUCUUUCCAUUUAUGACUGUAUGACUAUAACUUGUUGCUGGCAAUCCUUAUGAUUUAUAUUGAUAUACUGACCAUCAAUUGUGUUGUAAAUGUUGUACU